rnacentral:rRNA from 1 species
GGUUAAGUUAGAAAGGGCGCACGGUGGAUGCCUUGGCACUAGGAGCCGAUGAAGGACGGGACGAACACCGAUAUGCUUCGGGGAGCUGUAAGCAAGCUUUGAUCCGGAGAUUUCCGAAUGGGGAAACCCACUGCUCGUAAUGGAGCAGUAUCCAUAUCUGAAUUCAUAGGAUAUGAGAAGGCAGACCCGGGGAACUGAAACAUCUAAGUACCCGGAGGAAGAGAAAGCAAAUGCGAUUCCCUGAGUAGCGGCGAGCGAAACGGGAACAGCCCAAACCAAGAGGCUUGCCUCUUGGGGUUGUAGGACACUCUGUACGGAGUUACAAAGGAACGAGGUAGAUGAAGAGGUCUGGAAAGGCCCGCCAUAGGAGGUAACAGCCCUGUAGUCAAAACUUCGUUCUCUCCUGAGUGGAUCCUGAGUACGGCGGAACACGUGAAAUUCCGUCGGAAUCCGGGAGGACCAUCUCCCAAGGCUAAAUACUCCCUAGUGACCGAUAGUGAACCAGUACCGUGAGGGAAAGGUGAAAAGCACCCCGGAAGGGGAGUGAAAGAGAUCCUGAAACCGUGUGCCUACAAGUAGUCAGAGCCCGUUAACGGGUGAUGGCGUGCCUUUUGUAGAAUGAACCGGCGAGUUACGAUCCCGUGCAAGGUUAAGUUUGAAAAGACGGAGCCGCAGCGAAAGCGAGUCUGAAUAGGGCGCAUGAGUACGUGGUCGUAGACCCGAAACCAGGUGAUCUACCCAUGUCCAGGGUGAAGUUCAGGUAACACUGAAUGGAGGCCCGAACCCACGCACGUUGAAAAGUGCGGGGAUGAGGUGUGGGUAGGGGUGAAAUGCCAAUCGAACCUGGAGAUAGCUGGUUCUCUCCGAAAUAGCUUUAGGGCUAGCCUCAAGGUAAGAGUCUUGGAGGUAGAGCACUGAUUGGACUAGGGGCCCCUACCGGGUUACCGAAUUCAGUCAAACUCCGAAUGCCAAAGACUUAUCCUUGGGAGUCAGACUGCGAGUGAUAAGAUCCGUAGUCGAAAGGGAAACAGCCCAGACCGCCAGCUAAGGUCCCAAAGUAUACGUUAAGUGGAAAAGGAUGUGGAGUUGCUUAGACAACCAGGAUGUUGGCUUAGAAGCAGCCA